CUGAAGAAUGAGCAAAGCUGUGUGCAGAUCAGCUGGGAUUCCGUGAGCCUCCUAAACAGCUAUAGUGCAUCCUUCCAGUGCACACUACAGCUCUUGGUUCAAAUGGAUGAAACCAAACUUAUCCAUGGCCUUUCAUCUUAGGAUAUGCUGAAACAGUCACGGGGAGGCCCUCUCCUUCUUGCGAUCACAUCUUCAGGAAAUAUUCUUGGUUAAGAGUGGAAAGUGAGCUUCCAUGAGGGACUGUGCACUGUUGGGUCGAAGAGCUCAAGAACACUGCUCACUUUUCAGAUGCAGAAAGGCUCCCUUCACCACGCCUGCUGGAAAGGCAACUCUUAUGACACCUUGACUGCUUUCUACUAUUCAGUUUCAAGAUUAGUAAUGGAUUCUCACAUAAAUUCCAGUAGAUAAAUUUCUUUGUGCUCUUAAGAUAACACAGGAUCCCUCCUGACUCAGGAUUCGGUUGCUGCAUGCUCUGUAGAGUCCAUGUGAGCAUUGGCCAGGUGAAAGUCCCUGAUGGGAUUUAUCUCCUUUCUUAGAGAUGGCUUAUUCUCCAUGACUGACUCAUCAUCUUUUGGUGUGGGAUACAGAGCUCAUGUAUUUGGACCGAGGGGAACAUAGUGAUGGAUCCGAUAACACAGCCACUGCACAGAAAUCAGUUAAUAAAUCAACGAGACAGAAAUCUGUAGGAAACCCUGAACCAUCCUCUUUCAUGAGCAGACUUCAAGCAAAUGCUGUGGGCAUGAAUGCAAAGCAGUCGGAAAUACCUCACCCUGCCAUGGCACUAGGAAUAUGACUAAAGGUCAUUACCAGAAAGUGAGAAUUGUGAAGGAGAUACUGCAUUCUCACAAGGAGGUCUCUGAAGCUUUGCUCACAUGUGCCUGGGAGGAAGCAAACACUGACACAGCAUAAGCUUCUCCCUUUUGAAUGUUUAUAUUCCUGCUGCUGAACACUUAUAAAACACCAUCAGGGCUGGAUAAAUGAAGUCUGUUCUGCAGACCCAAUGUAUCAUGAAG
rnacentral:lncRNA from 1 species